rnacentral:misc_RNA from 1 species
GAUGAAGAACGCAGCGAAAUGCGAUAAGUAAUGUGAAUUGCAGAAUUCAGUGAAUCAUCGAAUCUUUGAACGCACAUUGCGCCCGCCAGUAUUCUGGCGGGCAUGCCUGUUCGAGCGUCAUUUCAACCAUCAAGCCCCAGGCUUGUGUUGGGGACCUGCGGCUGCCGCAGGCCCUGAAAACCAGUGGCGGGCUCGCUGUCACACCGGGCGUAGUAGAUUUUAUCUCGCUCAGGGCGUGCUGCGGGUUCCGGCCGUUAAAAAGCCUUUUUUACCCAAGGUUGACCUCGGAUCAGGUAGGAAGACCCGCUGAACUUAAGCAGAUCAAUAAGCGGAGGA